rnacentral:lncRNA from 1 species
CUUAAAAGUCGAAAAAUGUAUUCCAAAAAGAAAAAUGAUUACCAGACCAAGUAUCUAGAUCAAAAUAAAUAGAAACAGAAAAGGCAAACACAUUAGCAUACGAAACUCUUUUUCAUGUCCAAGUGGUUUAGCAGAGCACAAGAAGAUCUUGUGGCAAGGGGAGUUUUUUGACAGAAGAACGAAAUAAAACAGCUCUGGCUGUCGCCCAACAUCUUCUGGAGGGGUAGACGACUAAAACCAUAGCUUUCUAAAUGGAAAAGAAUUAUAAGUUAAUAUAGUGAGCUUACUUCAGAGCCACAAAAGUCAGGAAGAAAGUUGCAUUCCCCGGGAGGCUACUCGCAAGCAAACUAACAAUGGAGUUUGGUUCCUUCUCAAUGCUCUUGAACGUGUCGAAUAAGGUGCCACCCAGUGUCACUCCAAUAAAAACGUUCAGUAUGGUAAAAUAGAAAUACUUUCCAGAAAUGGCCCUUACUGCAUGGCCCACUGAAGGAAUUCCCUCAGCCUUUGAGAGAGCCAAAAGUAACUUGGGCAACAGUGCCAAAAACACAAUGAGUGCAAUCUGAGGAAGGUACGCUUCCAGCACCGUCUUAACUGAGACAAUAUUCACAAUUGUCUUUAAAAAUGGGAGAAGUUUCUUCAGAUUAUCCAGGGUUGUUAAUGCGGAAAUGAACCCGAUUGGUAUCAUAUAAAACAAUAUGGUCAGAGCCGCAAUAAAACAAACAACAUACUGCCGGAUUAUCCUUUGAAAGAGCUUAAUUUUAAGAUUAGACCAUAUUAUUUGACGUGGUUCAGGGGCUUCCAUGACAGUCCAGGUGUCAACCAUUUGGGCAUGUAGACUCUGGGCGGCAGAAGCUGCAGUCACCCUAUUGGUGAAGAAGGCAAAAGCACAAGGUUGUUGCUUCUCCCGGAGAGUGACUUUCUGUUCAGCUUCCAGCUUUGGGAUUAGCUCUUUAAUCUUCUCAUUGUAGUGCUCUAUGCUAUCUACCUUUCUACCAACAAUACCAAGGGGGCCAGUUCUGAUGGUUGGUCUCAAUCCUUCUGGUUUGCCUGUUUUUUUGGAUUCAUUGUAUACAGCUUCUGCAUGUGCAUGCUUCUUCUUGUAUCCUUCCAACUCUUUAUAAAUCUUGUUAACCUAGAAGAGUUUUAGAAAAAAGAGGGGCUCAAAAUCAGCAGAGCUCAUACAGUACGCAGCACAACACAGAAAAAGAAAACUCACAAUUGACAUUGGUCAAGGAUCAUAAAUUCCUUGAUAUGGAAUAUAAUAUACGAUAACCUCAAAUAUACUUGAUAUGGAAUCAUUAUAUUACUAGCACGUAAUUCCUUCUUUUUUUCCCUUUUCUUUAUAAUAAAUUCUGAAAGCUCAAAGGAAUUGGAAACUAUAAAACGUGGGUUGGCUCAAAUUACAGAAGCAAUUUAGGAUGUGGAAUCCAGAACAUCAGGGUAAGUGGCAAGAGCAUGGAAAGAAAGAAACUAAUUUAAAAUAAAAAAAAUACCUGUUUGUUGUUUGUCACCACCAUCGAUCUAUAGAAUGUCUCAGGAUAGAUGGAUUUAAAAUAUGAAUCAACCUGUUCCUUUCUAGUUUGGCCCUCAGGGACAUGAGGUAUGUCUCUGACAAGAACAGCGAAUUGCUCUGGUUUCACUUCAGGAGACAUUAGAGCAUUUGCUCUCAUCCCAGAAACAUGCACGUACGCCUUCCAUAAAAAGAAAUAGGUAACAAGAGAAACCCAAUAGGUAGCAAUCAAGAAUGCCCACAGCCUUGGACUCCCCCCCUGCAGACAUAUUUUUCCAUGGAGCAAAACGAAAACGGGAGCAAGUCAGUUCAAGCAAACAAAACAAAGAAAGAGGAGUUGUGGAGGUACCUUGACAUUUCCCAUUAAUAACUUGUCAAUUUCAUUAAAACUUGUGGAGGAGUUUCCUUUAACUUUUUGUAUUUCCACAUUGUCGUCGGUGGCAGCAACAGGCAGAAGUACCGGCAGCAGAACAAGGCCAGACAAAACCAAUAUUGCCAGCGCUGUCAUAUAGAACAAAAAAAAGAGUAAAAAUAAACAACGUGAGGAGAGCAGUUGUCUGAGAAAUAAUACAUGGAAUGGAAGUUAGGGUUGUCCGAAAUCAUGAAGAAAUGUACACAGAUGGAUUUGCUUAAUCCUAUGAUGUAAGGUGCUUGUCAGUAGUUCAAGCACGACUAAUAAGAGUAGUCAUUGUCAAACCCAAUUAUUUUAGAUUUAUACUUUUUUUAGUUGCAUACCACCAUGUAAACAAACUUUGUUCUGAGCAAACUAAAGUAAAUGAAAAAGGAAAUCGGAAAACAGAGAAAAAUGAAAAGGUUACGGUAUCAAGUUUUGGAAGGCAAACAUCCCUUCGCCUCGAGAAAUUAAUUUAAGGGGAAGAAAGAACAGAACUACCACCAAAAAGGGACACAAUUAAAGACUCAAAGCAAGAAAGAAACCCGUAAAAGGUAUGAUUCUAACAACCUGAUAAAUUAGUCACAGCAUUACAAUCGAAGCGAUUCUUUGUAUUAGUUUUUUACAAGAGAGAGAGAGACUCGGAGAAAGAGAGUUUAAUUAAUCAAAUACCAGUGCUCAAGAAGACAAAGUAGACAGCAGCGUCUACACCGGACAUGUUUAUAACGUCCUGCUCGCUGGAAGAGAGGGCUUCCCGGAUCCAAGCAUAAGGGUUGCGGGAUCUUGACCCGCCCUCCCAGGGAUCCAGACCUUUCAAGAUCCGGUUGGGGUAAUACACGAAGGAGUUUCCAGGCUUCCUCGACAGCCAUGUAAACAGAAGCAUUAACACCACGAAAACAAAAAACGACGUCCCUAAAGACGUCAAGAAAGAUGUGAAAUCCAUCACUCGCUCAGAACAGAAUUAUUGUGAAAUGGGAAUUAUAAGGGCAAGGAAAGGAAAAGUAGCAGUGAAGAUGAGGGCAAUGAAAGCAGGUCACCGUUGAGGGAGGAAAUGGGGAAUGUAUUUAUGCUAGAGCAUUGAUUGGUGUGUGGUUCAAAUGCAAAAGAUGAGAGAAUACAAAAUGUCUGCCACAAGAAGAAGGCUUUCGAGCUGUUUGGUUCUGUGGGGUUUCGCGCUUUUGUUCAUGUUUAUUCGUCAUCAUCGUCGCAGUGCUUUCAUUUUCAGAGUCCUCGUAAGUAAAAUGAGUGUCUGUGUGUGAAAAGAAAGCGGGGACGGCAUCAACCGAGCGCGUUUCGAGUUUAAAUAAGCAAUUGAUUGUAAAAAAUAAUUGUGAAUCAUAAAAAUUAAAAAUAAAACAUUUAAGUAUGAAUUUUUAGUUAUAAUAGAAAUUACCUAUGAAAGAAAAACAAGUAAAUAAAAGUAAAUAAUUGGUGUAUAUUAGUAAUAUGAUGUUACCUAAAGGUUAGUCAAUGAAUCUAAAUGAAUUCUAUCAACUUUAAUAUUAAAUUACAUCAAAAAUUAGAAUAAUUACUUUGAAUUAUCAAAGAAAUAUGGAUUAAGGAAAAGAUUGUAAAUUUAAUAAUAAUAAAAAAUUAGCCCCUGCUUUAUACUUAAAAGGUUUUCGGCCAAUGGAUGGAAGAAAGUAGAAGCUUUCUUCUUCUCUUUUUAUUGCUUUUUAUUUCUCAUUGCUUAUGAAAAACUAGGUUUUAGGGUUUGAUACAUGGGACUAUGAGAGCUUAAACACUUGUAAAUACAAGAGAAUGAAGUGAGAGAAAAGUAGGGUUUAAAAAGAGAAAGUAAGGAAAUUACAGCAUUUUUAAAAAUGCCCUGUCCACGUCAACGUGAUCUUUUUAGAUAAUGUUUUCUGCAUCCUAGCUCUCAGCUUCAUAAUUUUCAACUAUGUUGACGUGUGUUUGUCUCCACUAUUUUGAUGCUUGAUGUGAUAGAAAUAAAAAUAAAUUAAGAAGUCAAAAAAUAUUAUUUUUAAUAUAUUUUUAAAUAAAAAAAUAUUUUUAAAAAUAAUCAUCAAUAUAAUAUUAAACAUAAACUAGAGGUGAUUAUUUUUUAUUCGGUUUAGUUUUUAUAUAAAAAAUAACCAAACCAAAGUUUUUUUAAAAAAAAUCAAAACCGGUUCAAACAGACUGGUUUCAGUUCCGUUUAGUUUUUUAAACAAAAAUUGGUUCAAAUCGAUUUCACUCGGUUUUUUUCGGUUUUGCCUCGGUUAUUUCCGGUUUGGCUUGAUUUUUUGGUUUUGCUCGGGUUUUUUCCGGUUUGGGUUCGGUUCGGUUUGGUUUUUUCGAUUUCAGACUUAUAAAACCAAAAUCAAACCGAACCGAAAAAAAACCGAGCCAUGAAUAAAAUAAUAAAUACUUUAGAUAUGAGGGGAAAAAUACAGUAACUAAACCAUGAAAAUGACCAACAUCAACAUAGUCUAUAUAUAUACCAGAUGCCAUGUCCGCGUGAUGUUGCGAGCUUAUAGCAUGCUUGUGCGUUGUUGUGCAUUUGUGAAAAAAAUCAUAAAAAAAUUUAAAAAACUAUAUGGAGAAAAAUUGUUGCAAUCCAUAAUAUUUUGAAGAAAAAAACUACAAAGUUAAAUUCUCAACUAACUUACUUUUUAAAAAAUAAAAUCGACAAAGAUAAUUCAGAAAAAAAUCAUAACAAAAAAAAACAAUGUAGGGAAACAUUAUAGCAAUCUGUAAUGUUUCAUGAGGAAAUCUAUAGUUUUAAUUCUUAACCAGCUCAAUAUUAAAAAAAAUAAAAUCGAUAAAGAUAAUUUAAAAAAAAUCUUAACAAAAAAAUCAUAUGAAGGAACACUGUAGCAAUCAACAGUGUUUUAAAAAAAAAAACUAAGAUGCUAAAUUCUCAACUAGCUUAAUAUGAAAAAAAAUAAAAUCAACAAAAGACAAUUAUGGAAAAAAAUCAUAAAAAAAGAAAAAAAAACCAUGUGUGAAAACACCGUAGUAAUCCAUAAUGUUUUAAAGAAAAAAACUAUAAAGCUAAAUUCUCAACUAGCUCAAUAUUAAAAAAAAAUCGACAAAGAUAAUUUUUUAAAAAAAAAACAUGCGGGAACACACUAUAGCAAAACAAAAACCAUGUCGGGAAAUAUUUUAGCAAUCCACAAUGGUUUUUUAAAAAAAUACAACACAAAAUUCUUAACUAGCUCAAUAUAUAAAAAAACUACCAAAUAUCAUUUUGAAAAAAAAAACAAAGAAAAAAAAUUCAUAAAAAGAAAAAAAAAUCAUGUGGUGAAACAUUAUAGCAAUCUAUAAUAUUUUAAAGAAAAAAACUUCAAAACUAAAUCCUCAAUCAAUUCAAUAUUAAAAAAAAAUCAAUAAAAUAACUUUGAAAAAAACACAAAAACAAAAAGAAUAAUAAUAAAAAAUGACCAUCUUUGGAAAAAAAGAAAAGAAAAAAAACAUUUAAAUCCCAAAAAAAAAAGGGAAAAAAUGAAAAAAAAUGGGGAAAUGCAUACAUACAUACAUACAUACAUACAUACAUAUAUAUAUAUAUAUAUAGUUUUUUAGAGUCAAAUAAUUCUAAAAGGUAAAAUCUUUGUCUUACAACCUCCUUUCCUAACUGAUUUAAAAAAAAAAAAAAAAGUCGAAGAGUUUUAUACUUUUGUUUUUGGAUCAUUAAAUGAACAUAAUUGUUGGAAUCACGCGAACUUAAUUAAAAAGGAAAGGGCAAGCAGAAAAUUUAUUUCUUUUAAAAUUCAAUCAAUCAUAAUUUUUUUAAAUAGUAAUUAUGACUUAGUAAUCCAAAGCUUGCUAGGUUAGAUCUCUUUUCAAAAUCAUACAAUUAUGGUAAAACUAGACACAUAUCCUCGCGUAGUGAAGUAUACAAUUUCAAUUAUUCAUAUAAAAUUAACUAUUUAGUAUUUGAUUAUAUUGUCAUAAUCUUGUGGUAUGUUAUCCCUUGUAUUGUUAUUAUUCUAUUUAAUAGUAAUAAAUCUUGUACCUAUACAAAAAUAUUUAACUAAUAUUUUUUAUAACAAAAUAUAAUUAUUUUUUAAAAUAUUUCUCAUUUUGUUAAAAUAAUAAUUUUUUUAAAAAUAUAUUUUUAACACUAAACACCAAAACAAUUCAAAAACGACCACAAAAAGUUAAAAUUUAAAGAAAUUUAAAACUACGUUACAAACUGAAACUUGGUUAAUAAUGCAUCUGCACAUGAUACAAUAACUAAACCAUGAAAAUGACCAACAUCACCACAGUCUAUAUAUAUAUAUAUAUAUAUAAAUUUAAUUAUUUAGUAAUUUGAUUACAUUAUCAUAACCUUUUGGUAUGUUGCCACAUUGUUAUUAUUCUAUGUACCUAUAAAAAAUAGAGUUUUUAUAAUUUUUAAAACAUUCCUUUGAUUAUUUUUUAAAAUAUUAUUUAAUUUAAAAUUUAUUAAAAUAUUAUUUAAAAAAUAAUUUUAAUAUCAACUCAUCAAAACAAUUCAAAAAUAAUAAAAACAAUAACAUUUAAAAGAAAUUUGAAACUACGUUACAAACAAACUGAAACUUGGUUAAUAAUGCAUCUGCACACAAUCAAAUACUUGUUGAAAUACAACGACCGCCUGAACGCGGGUUUCGGUUCAUCUUGAUGUUUUUUAAAGCAAUCUGCAACCUAGAAAGCUUCAACUCUCGAGUAAAAUACACGAAAUACACAAUAUGUUUACAAGUAAAUCCAUGACGUGAUCCACAAAUCUAACAAAUGGUCCAAGUUUUAGAAGCUAAAGGUACUACAGGACUUCAUCGAGCAACAAGAAGCUAGCUACCAACAGGGUAAUAUCAUGCAAACGAUCCGACUCUUGAAACUUGUGAUAAUGCAUCUUCGAAGUGGUCAUCAUCGGCCUUUUCAGAGCUCAAGCUUGGUGGGAUAAAAGACCUGUAGAUGCGUUCCAUGUCAGGAAUUUCCUUCAAUUCACGGCAAGCAACUUCGAGGGCUGUGUCGGCGAAAGAUCUAUAGAAUUUCUUCUGACAGACAAAGGCGAACAGCAAGGAAAGUAUCGGCAGUGGAAUUAGCAAGAGAGUACUGAAGGAGAAUUUCUUCACCCCAAAAUAACCGAACAUUGUAACUUGGUAUAGUAUCAGAGCAGCUAUGACUCUUGUAUGGAUGUGGGGCCACAUCCUGCCAUAGGUCUCAUAGGAUGGAGCAUAUACUUUGAGUGCCUGUUAAAUUUAACCACAUUUGCAAUUAAUAUUGAACAUGUUUAGCUGCAAAACUGGUCGCAUGUUUUGUGAAAAUACGAACUUCUAUUUGCCAAAACUUGCAGCACUUCAAAAUAAAAUGAAAAUAUCAAAGUGAACACAACAGAUAGAUCCGAAAUUCAGCAAAUGUUUGUCAUAGCAAUACACAAUACAUGUUGUUUUAGCUAGCUACAAAAUUUGAAGUGUUAACCCAUCAGAAUGAAUCCAAGCCAUCUCAUGCCAGCACAGGUUUGUGGAAAUAUUGAUUUCUAUUUGCCAGAAUUUGCAACAGUUCAAGGAAUAUGAACAUAGAAAGCACGCAAUGAAUUCUCCGAAAAAACACACACACACACACUGCUAGUCAAACAGAGUAACCAUUCCAAAAUUCAAACAAAACAUUCUAAGAUUUUUAUGAAUGGUGUGAGAUCCUUACCUGGUUCCUAAGGACAAGCCAUCCCAGGCCAAAGUACACCACUCCAAAUGGAAUAAUCAGAGGGGCUAUGACAGAGUAGCAAAGAACAAUUGUGAGAACAAGCAUGUCACCAGGAAUCCGGGUUGCAUAUCCGAAAUCUUUAGGAAACCAAGCUUCUUUUAACUCAGCUUCGGUCUUGCAUAGAUACUUCUUCUUUAGAUGAAAAAUGAUUAGAGGAACUAUACGAGACAGCUCGAGUCCAUAGCCAACGAAAAACCUGAGAGCCACAGAAUACUUAAAAGUCAAAAAAUGCAUUCCAAAAAGAAAAAUGAUUACCAGACCAAGUAUCUAGAUCAAAAUAAAUAGAAACAGAAAAGGCAAACACAUUAGCAUAAGAAACUCCUUUUCAUGUCCAAGUGGUUUAGCAGAGCACAAGAAGAUCUUGUAGCAAGGGGAGUUCUUUGACAGAAGAACGAAAUAAAACAGCUCUGGCUGUCGCGCAACAUCUUCUGGAGGGGUAGACGACUAAAACCAUAGCUUUCUAAAAGGAAAAGAAUUAUAAGUUAAUAUAGUGAGCUUACUUCAGAGCCACAAAAGUCAGGAAGAAAGUUGCAUUCCCCGGGAGGCUACUCGCAAGCAAACUAACAAUGGAGUUUGGUUUCGCCUCAAUGCUCUUGAACGUGCUGAAUAAGGUGCCACCCAGUGUCACUCCAAUAAAGACGUUCAGUAUGGUAAAAUAGAAAUAUUUUCCAGAAGUGGCCCUUACUGCAUGGCCCACUGAAGGAAUUCCCUCAGCCUUUGAGAGAGCCAAAAGUAACUUGGGCAACAGUGCCAAAAACACAAUGAGUGCAAUCUGAGGAAG